rnacentral:rRNA from 1 species
GCACAAGCGGUGGAUUAUGUGGUUUAAUUCGAUGAUACGCGAGGAACCUUACCAAGACUUAAAUGGGAAUUGACAGCUUUAGAAAUAGAGCUUUCUUCGGACUAAUUUUCAAGGUGCUGCAUGGUUGUCGUCAGCUCGUACCGUGAGGUGUUAGGUUAAGUCCUGCAACGAGCGCAACCCCUGUCACUAGUUGCCAUCAUUCAGUUGGGGACUCUAGUGAGACUGCCUACGCAAGUAGAGAGGAAGGUGGGGAUGACGUCAAAUCAUCACGGCCCUUACGUCUUGGGCCACACACGUAAUACAAUGGCCGGUACAGAGGGCAGCUACACAGCGAUGUGAUGCAAAUCUCGAAAGCCGGUCUCAGUUCGGAUUGGAGUCUGCAACUCGACUCUAUGAAGCUGGAAUCGCUAGUAAUCGCGCAUCAGCCAUGGCGCGGUGAAUACGUUCCCGGGCCUU